GACGAACGCUGGCGGCGUGCUUAAUACAUGCAAGUCGAACGGAAAGGCCCUGCUCUUGUGGCGUGCUCGAGAGGCGCACGCGUGAGUAUCACGCGUGUAACCUGUCCCUGUCAUUGGGGUAACUCCAGGAAACACGGGCGCUUACCGGGUAUGAGAUCUUGCUGCACGGUGUGGAAUGGUGAGAGUCGGCGGUUGGGGAUGGACUCGCGGUUUAUCAGCUUGUUGGUGGGGUAGUGGCUUACCAGGGCUUUGACGGGUAGCCGGCCUGAGAGGGUGACCGGCCACAUUGGGACUGAGAUAGGGCCCAGACUCCUACGGGAGGCAGCAGUGGGAAAUAUUGCGCAAUGGGCGGAAGCCUGAUGCAGCAACGCCGCGUGCGGGAUGACGGCCUUCGGGGUGUAAACCGCUUUCGCCUGUGACGAAGCGUGAGUGACGGUAAUGGGUAAAGAAGCAACGGCUAACUACGUG
rnacentral:rRNA from 1 species